rnacentral:rRNA from 1 species
UACAGAGGGUGCGAGCGUUGUCCGGAAUCACUGGGCGUAAAGGGCGCGUAGGUGGUGACCUAAGCGUGCGGUGAAAGCCCGAGGCUCAACCUCGGGUCGGCCGUGCGAACUGGGUCACUGGAGCAGAAUAGAGGCAGGUGGAAUUCCGGGUGUAGCGGUGGAAUGCGUAGAGAUCCGGAAGAACACCGGUGGCGAAGGCGGCCUGCUGGGUUCUGGCUGACACUGAGGCGCGACGAGCGUGGGGGAGCAAACAGG